rnacentral:rRNA from 1 species
GACAGAGGGGGCAAGCGUUGCUCGGAAUUACUGGGCGUAAAGGGCGCGUAGGCGGGCUGGCAAGUCGGUCGUGAAAUCCUUCGGCUCAACCGAAGAACGUCGAUCGAUACUGCUGUUCUAGAGGGUUGCAGAGGAGACUGGAAUUCCCGGUGUAGCGGUGAAAUGUGUAGAGAUCGGGAGGAACACCGGUGGCGAAGGCGGGUCUCUGGGCAACUCCUGACGCUGAGGCGCGAAAGCGUGGGGAGCAAACGGG